UGAAGAUGGCGGCGCCCAGUCUGCCCCAGGGAGCUGAGAGGUUGGGGCCCCACUCCUCAGUGCGCCCUUGGAGAAAAGCCGUCAGCGCCUCCCGUCUCUCUAGUCUCUGGCCAAGCUCCGAGCUCACCGGCCUGUGAGCGAGCGUCUCUGUCUCUGGCGCUCGGCCCUGUUUGAAGUCUCCAAACCCAGCGGAUUCCUGCUGCGCUGCUUCUCCCAGAGGAGGAAGAUGGCACCUUCUAAUGGGAAAGAAGUCCUGCUGGCCAUCCACCUCUUUGCUCUCCACUGUGUUCCAUGCGCUUUCCUCUGGACCACUGGAUGGAACCCUACACUGACAUUCCCAGAACACCUCGGCCAACCUGCUUCGAGACAAAGGUCUAUAGUGCAAGUGCUUGACAUUAAGCUUUUGAUCACUCCGCCAUCCAUCUCAAGGACAUCCAUCUCCAGUAAACACAUGACCAGCUAGACAACUAGAUAAGAGCCAGGGAGCCCACCCGUGAAGUUCCCCCUUUUGGAAAGUCCUACAUAAAUCUGGGUCCUGCCAACCCUGGAUUUUUCUUUUUUUUUUAAGGUCCUCAUAUAGAGCUCCUUCUUGCAUUCCCUCUUGCCAAAGAAGAGAGGAGACUGAUGACCCAUUUAAAAAGGCCCAACAGCAAUAAACCCAGAGCCAGUCUUUUGUCCAGCUUGGCAAGCAGGUGGGGCAAAUCCCUGUUAUUUGCUCCUGAUGUUUCACCCCUCAAAAGACCAACAAAAAGUGGUUUUUUUUUUUUUUCUUUAGCUGUGGAAAAUAAAAUACAAGUUAGAGCCUCAAGGCACGCCAUAAGACAAGCCUUUGGCAGCAUGCCCUGCUUCAUUUAUAUUUCAAUAGAGCCUUUUUUCCAUAUUAAAAUGAACACAGGGAAAUCAGAAGAAGGAAAUGGAGAGGAAAAGAUGGAUGAGGUGGUGAAAAGAAUCCAAAAGGAAAAUUUUAGAUCUCAGAUUAGCAAUAUAUCUCUGAAAUUUCGUUCUGUCAGUGCCUCAUUUAUCUGUGUUCUAAUCAAGGAAAACACUUGCCACUCUAACCUUGACAUCUCAUGGACUCAUCCGAGUGAAAGCAAAUCUUCCCACACAUCACAGUCCAGUACUCCUCAGCCUUCGGGAAACCGGAGGUACUCUGCUCCACACAGUCACCCAGGGACUCAGCUCAGAUCCCUCCGUUAUAUUAUUUGCCCUUGAGCAAAUGAAAGAAAGUCCAGUUCAAGUGGGGAACCUAUCAGGAACUUUCUAAGAGUCAGGACUGAAAGAGGCAUACACGACUUCCUUCCACAUUCUGUUGGCCAGAACUCAGACACACGACCUCAUCCAUGUGCAGUAGAAGCUAAAAAUAUACUUUAGUUAUGCAGAUAGGAAUAAAAGGAAAUGGUUUAUAGAAAAACAGCUCUGUCUAUGUAACAG